AUACGCUAGCGGCAGGCUUACACACACAGUCGAGGGGUACAGGGAUUGCUUGCAAUCCGCUGACGACCGGCGCACGGGUGCGUAACGCGUAUGCAACCUACCUUUCACAGGGGGAUAGUUAAGAGAAAUUUUGAAUAAUAUCCCAUACGAUCUGAUCUACUCCUGUAGAACAGAAGAAAACUUCGGUGGUGAGAGAUGGGCAUGCGUCCUAUUAGUUUGUUGGUGAGGUAACGGCUCACCAAGACUACGAUAGGUAGGGGUCCUGAGAGGGAGAUCCCCCACACUGGUACUGAGACACGGACCAGACUCCUACGGGAGGCAGCAGUGAGGAAUAUUGGACAAUGGAGGCAACUCUGAUCCAGCCAUGCCGCGUGCAGGAAGACUGCCCUAUGGGUUGUAAACUGCUUUUAUACAGGAAGAAAAACUCCGACGUGUCGGAACUUGACGGUACUGUAAGAAUAAGGAUCGGGUAACUCCGUGCCAGCAGGCGCGGUAAUACGGAGGAUCCAAGCGUUAUCCGGAAUCCUUGGGUUUAAAGGGUCCGGAGGCGGUAUUUAAAGUCAGAGGUGAAAUCCUGGCGCUCAACUGUAGAAUUGCCUUUGAUACUGGAAGACUUGAGUAUUGGGACUGGGUAAACGUGUGGGUGCGGGAAUGCUGAAUCACA
rnacentral:rRNA from 1 species